AACGAACGCUGGCGGCAGGCUUAACACAUGCAAGUCGAACGCCCCGCAAGGGGAGUGGCAGACGGGUGAGUAACGCGUGGGAACAUACCCUUUCCUGCGGAAUAGCUCUGGGAAACUGGAAUUAAUACCGCAUACGCCCUACGGGGGAAAGAUUUAUCGGGGAAGGAUUGGCCCGCGUUGGAUUAGCUAGUUGGUGGGGUAAAGGCCUACCAAGGCGACGAUCCAUAGCUGGUCUGAGAGGAUGAUCAGCCACAUUGGGACUGAGACACGGCCCAAACUCCUACGGGAGGCAGCAGUGGGGAAUAUUGGACAAUGGGCGCAAGCCUGAUCCGGCCAGGCCGCGUGAGUGAUGAAAGCCUUAGGGUUGUAAAGCUCUUUCACCGAUGAAGAUAAUGACGGUAGUCGGAGAAGAAGCCCCGGCUAACUUCGUGCCAGCCGCCGCGGUAACAC
rnacentral:rRNA from 1 species